rnacentral:sRNA from 1 species
GCAGACCUAGCGCGUCCAGGUGGGAGGUUGGUGUGGCCCGGGCGUCCGCUCCUCAGCGGAUGUGGCAGCCCCGAGCCAUGGCUCUCGCCGUCCGAGUCGUUUAUUGAAACUUAAAAAGUUAGCCGGGCAUGGUGGCGCACUCUUGUAGUCGCAGCUGCUUGGGAGGCUGAGGCAGGAGGAUCACUGGACCCCGGAAGGCGGAAGUUGCAGUGAGCUGAAAUCGCGCCACUGCACUCCAUCCUGGACAGCAGAGCGAGACUCUGUCUCAAAAAAAAAAAAAAGUAAAUUAAAGAGAGGAAUUUUAGUUCUGUGUUACAGGUGAGAAAACUGAGGCUGGGACUGGGGUGGGGGCAGGUCAGUAGCUUCAAGUCUGGACUGCAGGUGACGGGUAACUGGAACCUGGGUUUGUCGGCAGCUUUCCAACGUCUCUGUCUGCUCGACAAAGCAGAGGCAAGAGUGACAUUUUGAGACGCCUACCAGGCCUGUGCACCAGAUUCCAGUCCCGAAAUAGCCUGCUGUGGGGGUUGGGUGAGCCUGUAUUUCACCCUGGGGACUGGGAAGGUGUUCAGAAUCUAGGAGCUGCGGGGCCGGGUGCGGUGGCUCCUGCCUGUAAUCUCAGCACUUUGGGAGGCUGGGG